GAUGAACGCUGGCGGCGUGCUUAACACAUGCAAGUCGAACGAACCUUCGGGUUAGUGGCGGACGGGUGAGUAACGCGUGAGAAUCUGCCCUCAGGAGGGGGAUAACGGCUGGAAACGGCCGCUAAUACCCCAUAUGCCGAGAGGUGAAAUGAAUUUCGCCUGAGGAUGAGCUCGCGUCUGAUUAGCUAGUUGGUGGGGUAAAAGCCUACCAAGGCGACGAUCAGUAGCUGGUCUGAGAGGAUGAUCAGCCACACUGGGACUGGGACACGGCCCAGACUCCUACGGGAGGCAGCAGUGGGUAAUUUUCCGCAAUGGGCGAAAGCCUGACGGAGCAACGCCGCGUGAGGGAUGAAGGCCUCUGGGCUGUAAACCUCUUUUCUCAAGGAAGAAGAUCUGACGGUACUUGAGGAAUAAGCCACGGCUAAUUCCGUGCCAGCCGCCGCCGUAACAC
rnacentral:rRNA from 1 species